GACGAACGCUGGCGGCGUGCUUAACACAUGCAAGUCGAACGGGCCUUGUCCCCUUUUUUUUUGGGGGUGGGGUUAGUGGCGAACGGGUGAGUAACACGUGAGUAACCUGCCCCUCACUUCUGGAUAACCGCUUGAAAGGGUGGCUAAUACGGGGUGUUCUGGCCUGCUCGCAUGGGUGGGUUUGGAAAGAUUCGACCGGUUUUGGUUGUUUUGGUGGGGGAUGGGCUCGCGGCCUAUCAGCUUGUUGGUGGGGGGAUGGCCUGCCAAGGCUUUGCCGGGUAGCCGGCCUGAGAGGGUGGGCGGUCACACUGGGACUGAGACACGGCCCAGACUCCUACGGGAGGCAGCAGUGGGGAAUAUUGCACAAUGGGCGCAAGCCUGAUGCAGCGACGCCGCGUGAGGGAUGGAGGCCUUCGGGUUGUGAACCUCUUUCGCCAGUGAAGAAGGUCCUGCUCUUUGUGGUGGGGUUGACGGUAGCUGGGUUAAUGAAGCGCCGGCUAACUACGUG
rnacentral:rRNA from 1 species